AUGAAAAAAAAAACCCACUUAGGAGUUGAGGGAAAACCCUCCCGUUGCGUUUCCCUCGGCUGCUUUCCCUCCUCCCGCGUUUCCCCUCGCAGGAGCCGCUCGGGAUGGGAAGGAGCGGGCCGGGGGCCUGAGCUGGUUCCCAUCAGCGAUCCCAUUCCCUCGCCCGGUGCCCCGGAGCGCUGCCCCGCUGCCAGCGCCCCGCGGGGGCUGUACCAGGCUGUGCCGGUGGCACGGGAAAAUCUCCCGGAGCUCAGGAGCAGGGCAAGAAGAGUCUGGCUGCUCCUGCGCUCCAGGUUGUGCCCGCUUCCCGGGGCUCCUGCUCCUCAUCCCCAGGAAUGUCCGUGCGGCGGAGCCACCCACGCUCCCAGGGAAGCACAAACUCCUCCAUCCACCCCUCAGCCGGAGAUAAGAGCGAUCUUGGGUUGGGUGUUUUUAGCCCGGAUUUGGCACCAGGUUGCCCCGCUGGAGCCCAGCUGCGGGCCGGGGGUGCCGAGGCAGCGAGCACGGCGGCGUUUUGGGAAUGCUGAGGGAUUCUCCCGGCAGGUGCAGCACCAGGAGAUGGAUUUUGCUGCUUCAUCCCAGCGCUUCGGCGCAGGUCUCGCUUUGCCUUUAAUCCCUGCAAAGUUUGGGGGUGUCACUCCUUCCCUCUGUCCCUGCCGUCCUCCGGCUGCAGGAGGGAAGGAUUUGGGGUGGCUGCAGCCUGGAUCCACAGGGAACAGCACCGGGAAUCCCCCAGGCAGCUGCAGCCGAUCCUUGGGAGCCGGCGGAGCUGCCACCCCCGAACCCAGCGAGUCCCUGCAGGCCACCGAGCAGCCACGUGCGCGUCUCCGAACUUGGCGGCCUGGAAUUCAGGGGGGGAUCAGGCUCAGUAAUCCCGUUAAACCUGCUGGAAAGGGCUGCCCGGGCUGUGGGGCAGCGAAACAAAGCAGAACACCAGGAUUUCGCUCUGUCUGGAGCCGCUCACCUGUGGCCGAGCCGUGUGUGGCCGACGGUGGCACCUGCAUGGAUGGGGUGUGA
rnacentral:lncRNA from 1 species